CCCGAAUUUCGUGUUCGUUUUCGGUUUGGUUAGGGGCCCACUGAUAAAAUACUUUUCGGACUUGGCACCCCGGGUACUCUUAUAAUUCGUAUUAUUCGUGAUCUAGUCUCCGAUUACCGCGCUGUCGGGGUUUUUUUUUUUUUUUUUUUUUUUAAAUUUUACUCUUAUUAUCGUAACGUAGAAUGGAAAGAUCAACUGUUACAGAAAUCGUGGUUUAUUAGUUUAUAAUUUUACAUCGAAUAUUCGUAUCGCCCGUGUCCACGUAAAUAGAACCUAUGGAUACCUGUGGAUAAAAUAACUGCGUAAAAGUGAUAAAAAAUCAUUGAAUCACUGCCAUUAUUGCCGGCCUUACUGCCGCCAUGAUUGUACUCUACGAAAGUUGUUGUCCGGACGGGCCCGGGUUAAAAGUUAGGCCCUCGCAAAAUUCAAUUCGCGAGUGGCCCCCGCGAAAUUAGCGCAUUCGCCAUUCAGCAGCGAUUUUCUUCGAAAUGCAUUAAAUGCCUACGAAUUUUAAUUAAAUUUUGUUAUUUUUUUUUUUUUUUUUUUUUUUUUUUAAAUCCAAUUCGUCCGAAAAUUAAUAUUCGAAUAUGUCCGAAUCGAUCGAAUGGCCUCUCGCGUCAAAUGGUCAGCAAACGAACCGGAAGACGCCGACGAAUUAAAUAUGAUCAUUAAACAAUAACGUACCGAGCAAUUGUACAUUAAACUAAU